UUGAAAAUUGCUUAGGUGAUUAUCGCGUAAUAAUAACCUCAACGACAACCAAUCAGCAUGGAGAAUUUUCAAUAAUCACCUAUGUAAUUACACUAAAAAUGCCUAUUGCAUGUUUGAACUGGAAUGAUUAUAACCAAUUAUUAGUCCAUGCAGACACUGAGCUGUAGAACGGACUUGCGACCUGUUUAUAUGAGCCCGGUAUAUGAGCCCGGUUAACCUAGCUGGCCCGCUUUGCCGAGCUGGCCCGCUUUGCCGAGCUGGCACGCUUUUUCGAGCUGGCCCGCUUUGCUUUCACGUGAGGCGGGCUAGCCCGGCAAUCAUAUCUACUCAUAGUAACGAUUUCCCGCGAUAUUUUAGCUGAAAAAUAAAAUUCGUGUUUAUUUGGCAAAAUUUUAUUUUAGUCGACGGUCACAGCUUCAGGAGGUUUAAUUUCGAUAAAUUCCUAUAAUUUUGGACAUUUUAGACCGUUUAUUAGUGGAAUAAAGCACGCAGAUUUCCAGUCCGUGCCGGGUUAGCCCGGUUGUCCAUUCAUAUGAGCCCGGCAAGCCGGGAUCUCGCCUCGCUUAAUUAAGCGAGAUCCCGGCAAACCGGCCUGCUCCGCUUCUCAUAUGAACCCAAUCCUAAAUUAAUAUACGAAUAAUAUGUGAGGCGGGAUCUUGGCACUUGAAAACUGGCCCGGCUAGCAAGGCCAGCCCGGCAGAGCAGGGCUCCUAUGAACAGCCCAUUGGUUGGAUCUGGUAUAUUCAAAAUCAUUUCUUUAUUGUAUUUUCUAAAUCACAUUUGUAUAGUGUGUAAUUAGUUUAAAAGAACAUUAGGCUAAAAACGUUAGUUUUGUAGGAAAAAACACCGCUUUUACAAUUUGCAUGCAUUAAUUGUCUUAAGGCCGUUUUCCUCUAGGCAGAAUUUGCCGAGCGGAGAGGAAUUCUUUUUUGUCUUGUGAUUUCUCGGGUGGAACUCAUUAGAAAGACAAAGAGAAAUUCCGCUCCGCGCGGAAAAUUUAGCCUAGAGGAAAACGGCAUUUACACUCGCACAAAUAGACAACUGAAAUUAAUAUACUGUAGUUUUUAAGCACUGUAUAUAUUUAAACGUAGAAUAUGAAAGGAGUUAAAAACGAAUCCGUGAACUUGCACCUCGGACGCCACCAACCUUGUGAUUGUAGUUGAUUACAUUAAUUAAUAAA